rnacentral:rRNA from 1 species
GUCCUAGCCGUAAACGAUGGACACUAGAUGUUGGAAGAUCUUACUCUUUCAGUGUCGUAGCUAACGCGUUAAGUGUCCCGCCUGGGGAGUACGCUCGCAAGGGUGAAACUCAAAGGAAUUGACGGGGGCCCGCACAAGCGGUGGAGCAUGUGCUUUAAUUCGAUGCAACGCGAAGAACCUUACCUGGGCUUGACAUGGGAGUGAAAGGCUGCAGAGAUGUGGUCCCUUCCUUCGGGAACACUCUACACAGGUGCUGCAUGGCUGUCGU